AUUUUCCCUCCGGGCUGUCUACCCAUCAACGAGGGGGACCGGUGAACCCCUCCUCUGUGGCUCAGUCCCUAGCAGCGCAGGUAACGGGACAAGGAGCUAAGUAGCUUCUAACCCAGCAAGUGACGCUGGGAGGUGGCGGAUGAGAGCCGCACCUGGAUGUGAAGCGUUCUUGUUUUCAACUCCUUCUCCAGGGUUUGGGAGGGGAAAUGGCAGCUGUGUGUGGCGGUGACCGGUGGCUGCUCCCUGCGCGAAAUUCAGAAAGAAAGCAGCGGCUCCCGGGGGCUUGGCCCUCCCGCCUCAGCCCUCCUCGGCAGAAGCCCUGGUGAUGAUUGCUGCUGGGACAGUGAGCCUACAAGUUGUUCUACAAAGUAAUCAUUACAAGCAACUGUCAGAGCUGCCACCAUGACCACGAAUUCAUUAAAAUCCACUUCGUUGUCCUUAUUGGCAUCCAGGUCCUGCAUUACCUUAUCAACCAAUUGUGGGUCCUUUUGGCUCUAAAAGGAAAAAGAAAAUGUCUAACUCCCAGGCUUGGAGGUUCAUGACAACUGAAAUUGCAUUUUCCUUUUAUUUAUGCUCUAGUUUUUAUUUGUUUUAGCAUCUAAGGACA
rnacentral:lncRNA from 1 species